rnacentral:rRNA from 1 species
UCGGGUUUUAAUUAACUUGGUAACGCAGCUAACGCGUGAAGUAGACCGCCUGGGGAGUACGGUCGCAAGAUUAAAACUCAAAGGAAUUGACGGGGACCCGCACAAGCGGUGGAUGAUGUGGAUUAAUUCGAUGCAACGCGAAAAACCUUACCUACCCUUGACAUGUACGGAAGGCCGAAGAGAUUUGGCUGUGCUCGAAAGAGAACCGUAACACAGGUGCUGCAUGGCUGUCGUCAGCUCGUGUCGUGAGAUGUUGGGUUAAGUCCCGCAACGAGCGCAACCCUUGUCAUUAGUUGCUACAUUUAGUUGAGCACUCUAAUGAGACUGCCGGUGACAAACCGGAGGAAGGUGGGGAUGACGUCAAGUCCUCAUGGCCCUUAUGGGUAGGGCUUCACACGUCAUACAAUGGUACAUACAGAGGGCCGCCAACCCGCGAGGGGGAGCUAAUCCCAGAAAGUGUAUCGUAGUCCGGAUCGCAGUCUGCAACUCGACUGCGUGAAGUUGGAAUCGCUAGUAAUCGCGGAUCAGCAUGUCGCGGUGAAUACGUUCCCGGGUCUUGUACACACCGCCCGUCACACCAUGGGAGCGGGUUUUACCAGAA